rnacentral:rRNA from 1 species
CUUGAAACACGGACCAAGGAGUCUAGCAUGUGCGCGAGUCAUUGGGACUUGCGAAACCUAAAGGCGAAAUGAAAGUGAAGGCGCGCCUUGCGCGCGCCGAGGGAGGAUGGGCCGUGCCUCGGCGCGGCCCCGCACUCCCGGGGCGUUUCGUUCUCAUCGCGAGAUGAGGCGCACCCAGAGCGUACACGCUGGGACCCGAAAGAUGGUGAACUAUGCCUGGUCAGGACGAAGUCAGGGGAAACCCUGAUGGAGGUCCGUAGCGAUUCUGACGUGCAAAUCGAUCGUCGGAACUGGGUAUAGGGGCGAAAGACUAAUCGAACCAUCUAGUAGCUGGUUCCCUCCGAAGUUUCCCUCAGGAUAGCUGGCGCUCGCUUUGCGAGUCUCAUCCGGUAAAGCGAAUGAUUAGAGGCAUUGGGGUCGAAACGGCCUCAACCUAUUCUCAAACUUUAAAUGGGUGAGAUCUCCGGCUUGCUUGAAACUUGAAGCCGCGAGAUAUCUACAUUCGGAUCAGGGUGCCAAGUGGGCCAUUUUUGGUAAGCAGAACUGGCGCUGUGGGAUGAACCAAACGCCGAGUUAAAGCGCCCAAAUCGACGCUUAUGGGAUACCAUGAAAGGCGUUGGUAACUUAAGACAGCAGGACG